rnacentral:rRNA from 1 species
GGGUGCGAGCGUUAAUCGGAAUUACUGGGCGUAAAGCGUGCGCAGGCGGUUUUGUAAGUCAGAUGUGAAAUCCCCGGGCUUAACCUGGGAAUGGCAUUUGGGACUGCAAGGCUUGAGUGCGGCAGAGGAGACUGGAAUUCCUGGUGUAGCAGUGAAAUGCGUAGAUAUCAGGAGGAACACCGAUGGCGAAGGCAGGUCUCUGGGCUGACACUGACGCUCAUGCACGAAAGCGUGGGGAGCAAACAGG